AUGCAUCAGCACCGGCAUCGACACACACCCACACCAGCAUCCGCACCUCCACUCCUCCCCACCGGGAGCGCCAGCUCUCGCACCGCCGUAGUAGUAGUAGCAACCCACCUCCUUGUAAAUUAGGGAAUAAAAAGGAAGGACGCCAGACUUCCUGCGCUUGUAAGGAUGAUGAAAGCGUGCAGCGUCUGAACGGAUCACGGACGCCGGACGGCAAUAACGAGGAACUCGCAGCGGCGAUAGCGUUUCUUCGUCCCUGUUGCUGCAGCCGGCCAGGGGAACGCCUCGUGCGUAACAGAUUAGAAUGUGAGGUGAGGAGUCUCAAUUUUCUAAUGGGCCUGACGUUUCACAUUGGCUAGGAGUCUAAGUAAUCAUGGCAGCAUUAAUCUGGGCGGCCCUUUAAUUUGAGCGGCCCGGCGGGGUCGCGCGAUUUGCGCCGCGUGAUGUCGGGCCUGGGGCAGCAAAGGUAAGGGUAAAGGGAAGGGUGGCCCCAAGAAGGGUAGAAAGAAGAGGCGAACGCAGCAGGAGAAGGAGGAGCAGCACCAGGAGGACGAGCAGGUGGCGGAGGAGGAGCAGCACCAGGAGGACGAGCAGGUGGAGGACGAGGAGGUGCAGGAGGAGGAGUAUGUGCCGCAGCAGGAGGAGUCUAGUGGGAGGGAGGAGGAGGACGACGAGGACACGACAUGGGGUGACCCUACUGCAUACGUUUGACAGCGAGGUCCCACGCAACUCCCGGACAGGCCGAUACCUGUUGCCCUACGCUCGGUGAUUAAACCCGUGAAGCCACUGAGUUGGAAAAUCGUCGUUCCUGCUGGUCACAACCGCCUGGUCAACGACAUCCUGGGUGGGUUGUGCUGGCUGCACUUCCCAGGCAUGGUCCGGCUGAGUGAGGACAGGUGCUAGCCGGCUUGGAUGUGGGCACACUACCACAAAGCCCCGACACUCAUGAUAGGGACGACAGGUGCUUCCAGAGCAAGGCGGCAUGAGUGAAGGCUGAGCUAUGGGAUUUCUAAAGGUUGGCGGAUGAAUAUGAUGACCAGGCGGACGAGGUGCAGGAGACGGUAUGCAAGAAGCUGGUGAGGGACAUGCAUUAUGAGGCGCAAAUUCAAUGCGUCUUAAACUACAGCGCUUUGAAGAUGGGGCAGAAGAUGAAAAAACAGGAAGCAUGAACCUUGAAGCUGACCGGGGCGCAAUACUUGGAGGUGCCUGCGUGCUAGUGCCGCAAUGAUGCUGUGUGCUGGGCACACAUAGUGGACAGGUGGUUCACACCGGAGUAGCAGGAGAAGCACGACGCUGGACGACAGAAGAGUUUGCUAAUGCCAUUUCCAACACAUCAUCAAGGUAGCCUUACCAACGAGCAAUACAGGGCUUGAUGGGUAUGAAGAUUCAUUUCUUUGUUGUAACGCUCAAUUCUACAUAAUUUGUAAUUAACUUGAUAUUUUUUUCGCAAUUCGACGUACAUGGAGGCGCUCCGUGCAACAAGUUCAUGGGAUGGGCCUUGUCCCAUAAGGGCAAAGCGUCCGCGUCUGAGACCACCUACAACCCUGAUGACCCACCCGAGGCGUACAGCAAUCCCUCCUCCAUCCACAGCCGCCUCAGUGUGUACACGGAGACGGGAAGACAGGUCCAUGGACCAGAGUGGGAUCCGACCCGUGCGCCGCUUGAUGGAGAGGUGAUCGUGAGGGUGUGACAAGGAAAGAAGCAUGGUCGGUACUAUAUUUGCGACAGCAUGUUAGACACGACCAGCACUCCCACUCUCGCGGCCGUCCGAGCACAGGACACGAGUAGUAGCCCGCCCAUACUCACACGGCCAUCCGCGUCAGCGUUCCACAUGGAGCGACUUCUGGCCCGACUGGACGAGCAAGAAAGGGCACACCAGGCGGCCUUAGCCGAGGUUGCAUUGAGCAGCGAAUGGCCCAGCGGAUGGCCCAACAGGUGGCCCUUCAGCAGCAGCAGUGGGCUAGCAGCUUUACACUAUGAUGCAAGCUGUUCAGAGCGGUCAACCGCUACCUCCGAUGCCCCAGAUGAUGCCCACAAUGAUGUUGACUACGCCUCUGGCUCCGUCUCCUGCAACUCCUGUUAAUCAAUCGGCGAUAUCGAAUAACCCCGAAAUGUCGCCGGGCAUGUCACCGAGGUUCCCCCCACAACAGCUAUUCCCACCUCUGCCGGGCAGCGGCGCACCCCAGAUCAAUGGCGCACCCCAGAUCAAUGGCCCAACCCCGUUCGAGCCACCUCCUUCUCAGUGAGCUACUUUAUUUAAUUUGUGUUUCCGAACUAUUUGGACUUCUGGAUGGACUUGGAUAAUGAUUGUGGAUGAACUGUAGACUUGUAUAUGAACUUUGUGGACUUGUGGAUGUACUAGUGGACUCUUGUUGUCGAAUUAGUGGAUUUAUCUAUAUUAAGUGCCUGUGAUAGUUAUUGUGAUAUA